UAUGAGUAAGGGCAGGAGAAGGGUUACACACACAGUCUGUCUGCUUCAUUCAACACCAACACACCGGCUCUCAUUCACCGAGUUCCACAAAACGGAAGUAAGAAAAGCGACAAAUUUGUUCAACGUUAAUAGAGCACGGGGAUUGUUUCCCCCCACAGCGAGUAUGUGGUGAAGACGAUGCGAGUGGCGCGGAGAGCCGGUGGAAGUUGUCGCUGUGGCGAGCUCCAUGCAGAACCAGAGCGGAGCGGCUAGCGGAAGCGGCUACGGCUCCAAUGGCGCCUGCGUGUGUAACUGCACCGGAGCCCAAGUUCAGGGAAUGGACAUAUUGUUCAGUGUCUCUGUAGGUACGGAUGCUGAGGGCUGUGUCUCCAUGGCAAUGAUGGCAGCUGGAUGUGUGUGUGUGCGUGUGUGAGAGAGAGGGAGAGAGGGGAUGGCAUUGCCCGUGUUAUCUAGGGCAGGACAGGAG
ensembl:lncRNA